rnacentral:rRNA from 1 species
GACGAGCGCGGGCGGCGUGCUUAACACAUGCAAGUCGAACGCUGAAGCCUAGCUUUUGUUGGGUGGAUGAGUGGCGAACGGGUGAGUAACACGUGAGUAACCUGCCCCCUUCUUUGGGAUAACGCCCGGAAACGGGUGCUAAUACUGGAUAUUCACUGAUCUUCGCAUGGGGGUUGGUGGAAAGGUUUUUUCUGGUGGGGGAUGGGCUCGCGGCCUAUCAGCUUGUUGGUGGGGUGAUGGCCUACCAAGGCUUUGACGGGUAGCCGGCCUGAGAGGGUGACCGGUCACAUUGGGACUGAGAUACGGCCCAGACUCCUACGGGAGGCAGCAGUGGGGAAUAUUGCACAAUGGGCGAAAGCCUGAUGCAGCGACGCCGCGUGAGGGAUGGAGGCCUUCGGGUUGUAAACCUCUUUCGCUCAUGGUCAAGCCGCAACAUUGGUUGUGGUGAGGGUAGUGGGUAAAGAAGCGCCGGCUAACUACGUGCCAGCAGCCGCGGUAAUACGUAGGGCGCGAGCGUUGUCCGGAAUUAUUGGGCGUAAAGGGCUUGUAGGCGGUUGGUCGCGUCCGCCGUGAAAUCCUCUGGCUUAACUGGGGGCGUGCGGUGGGUACGGGCUGACUUGAGUGCGGUAGGGGAGACUGGAACUCCUGGUGUAGCGGUGGAAUGCGCAGAUAUCAGGAAGAACACCGGUGGCGAAGGCGGGUCUCUGGGCCGUUACUGACGCUGAGGAGCGAAAGCGUGGGGGGCGAACAGG